rnacentral:rRNA from 1 species
GAUGAACGCUGGCGGCGUGCCUAAUACAUGCAAGUCGAGCGAACGGACGAGAAGCUUGCUUUUCUGAUGUUAGCGGCGGACGGGUGAGUAACACGUGGAUAACCUACCUAUAAGACUGGGAUAACUUCGGGAAACCGGAGCUAAUACCGGAUAAUAUUUUGAACCGCAUGGUUCAAAAGUGAAAGACGGUCUUGCUGUCACUUAUAGAUGGAUCCGCGCUGCAUUAGCUAGUUGGUAAGGUAACGGCUUACCAAGGCAACGAUGCAUAGCCGACCUGAGAGGGUGAUAGGCGACACUGGAACUGAGACACGGUCAAGACUACUACGGGAGGCAGCAGUAGGGAAUCUUCCGCAAUGGGCGAAAGCCUGACGGAGCAACGCCGCGUGAGUGAUGAAGGUCUUCGGAUCGUAAAACUCUGUUAUUAGGGAAGAACAUAUGUGUAAGUAACUGUGCACAUCUUGACGGUACCUAAUCAGAAAGCCACGGCUAACUACGUG